rnacentral:rRNA from 1 species
GAUGAACGCUGGCGGCGUGCCUAAUACAUGCAAGUCGAGCGAACAGACGAGGAGCUUGCUCCUUUGACGUUAGCGGCGGACGGGUGAGUAACACGUGGGUAACCUACCUAUAAGACUGGGAUAACUUCGGGAAACCGGAGCUAAUACCGGAUAAUAUUUCGAACCGCAUGGUUCGAUAGUGAAAGAUGGCUUUGCUAUCACUUAUAGAUGGACCUGCGCCGUAUUAGCUAGUUGGUAAGGUAACGGCUUACCAAGGCAACGAUACGUAGCCGACCUGAGAGGGUGAUCGGCCACACUGGAACUGAGACACGGUCCAGACUCCUACGGGAGGCAGCAGUAGGGAAUCUUCCGCAAUGGGCGAAAGCCUGACGGAGCAACGCCGCGUGAGUGAUGAAGGUCUUCGGAUCGUAAACCUCUGUUAUUAGGGAAGAACAAACGUGUAAGUAACUGUGCACGUCUUGACGGUACCUAAUCAGAAAGCCACGGCUAACUACGUG